rnacentral:tRNA from 1 species
NGCUCGGUAGCUCAGUUGGUAGAGCAACGGAUUGAAGCUCCGUGUGUCGGCGGUUCGAUUCCGUCCCGCGCCA